GAUGAACGCUGGCGGCGUGCCUAACACAUGCAAGUCGAACGCUCGCAAGAGAGUGGCGCACGGGUGAGUAACACGUAGCUAAUCUGCCCUCAAGACAAGGAUAACUGUAGGAAACUACUGCUAAUACUUGAUAAGCUUACGGACUGUAGAGGUCUAUAAGAAAAGAUUUAUCGCUUGAGGAUGAGGCUGCGCGCCAUCAGCUAGUUGGUAAGGUAAUGGCUUACCAAGGCGACGACGGCUAGGGGACCUGAGAGGGUGACCCCCCCACACUGGGACUGAGACACGGCCAGACUCCUACGGAGGCAGCAGUGAGGAAUAAUUGCUCAAUGGGCGCAAGCCUGAAGCAGCGACGCCGCGUGGAUGAAGAAGGUUUUUCGGUACUGUAAAAUACCUUUUCUGUGUGACGAGAGUGGACGGUAGCACAGGAAUAAGUCUCGGCUAACUACGUGCCAGCAGCCGC
rnacentral:rRNA from 1 species